CUAUGUGUCACAUUUAUUAUGUUUUAGGCCGAUUGGUCCAAGAAGAAGCUUUGCUGCCAUCAUCUUACAAUGAUAGUGAUGUAUCUGAUAUUAAUGAAAGAAUAUCUCAUUUGCAAGAGGAUUUAUUGACUUGCACGUCAAAUAAGUCAUUUGUGAAAGUUAUGCUAGAAAGAUUGCUUGAAGGACAAGCUUUGAUCAAAUUAUUGUUUCCUCAUACCGUCACUGAGAUUCCAACCCAGGAGAAACUAUCAACAAUGAA